AUUGAACGCUGGCGGCAGGCCUAACACAUGCAAGUCGAACGAGUGGCGGACGGGUGAGUAAUGUCUGGGAAACUGCCCGAUGGAGGGGGAUAACUACUGGAAACGGUGGCUAAUACCGCAUACCAUCGAAUGUGCCCAGAUGGGAUUAGCUAGUAGGUGGGGUAAAGGCUCACCUAGGCGACGAUCACUAGCUGGUCUGAGAGGAUGACCCGACACACUGGAACUGAUACACGGUCCAGACGCCUCCGGGAGGAAGCAGUGGGGAAUGUUGCACAAUGGGCGCAAGCCUGAUGCAGCCAUGCCGCGUGUAUGAAGAAGGCCUUCGGGUUGUAAAGUACUGUCGGUAAGGAAGCGUUACUCGAAGAAGAAGCACCGGCUAACUCCGUGCCAGCAGCCGCGGUAAUAC
rnacentral:rRNA from 1 species